AUUGAACGCUGGCGGCAGGCUUAACACAUGCAAGUCGAGCGAGCGGCGGACGGGUGAGUAAUGUAUGGGGAUCUGCCCGAUAGUGGGGGAUAACUACUGGAAACGGUGGCUAAUACCGCAUACUAUCGGAUGAACCCAGAUGGGAUUAGCUAGUAGGUGGGGUAAAGGCUCCCCUAGGCGACGAUCUCUAGCUGGUCUGAGAGGAUGAUCAGCCACACUGUAACGGAGACACGGCCCAGACUCCGACGGGAGGCAGCAGUGGGGAAUAGUGCACAAUGGGCGCAAGCCUGAUGCAGCCAGGCCGCGUGUAUGAAGAAGGCCUGCGGGUUGUAAAGCACUUUCAGCGGGGAGGCGUUACCCGCAGAAGAAGCACCGGCUAACUCCGUACCAGCAGCCGCGGUAAUAC
rnacentral:rRNA from 1 species